CCGGGAGGUAUAGUCUUCUGGCAACAGCUUUCCUGGCGGCCACUUUAAUGUGCACGCUCUUCAGGUUACGAAUAUGCAUGACUUCCUGAGAACUGUUCUGAGCAUGCAGUGUUGCAGAUCAUGACUGCCUGGGCAGCACUCCCCAGCUUGUCUGCGAAGACUACACAACACCUGGCAGCUGCCUGUGGAAUGAAAGCAAAGGCCAACUUCUCAGAGGGAAGAGGCAGGCUCCAAGCAGGAAGAUUAUGGCAGAUGAAGGACUUCGUUGGAUCCCAGCAAAAUGGGUGAAACCAUGGAUAGAGUCAAACAAAGUGGGCCAGGACUCAUUGUAAUCGCUCGAGCUGUAAUUACUGCACGCGUGUAACUAAAAUUUAAUUAUUUAAUUUGCUUUGAUUUGGCUCUGAAUUUUUCUGUGGGAACCUAGGGUCAGGCCCUGUUAUGGUGGCCAACACUGUCGGGGCCUCUCAUCUCCAAAUGAUCAUUUGGCGCCAUCGGGUGAGUUCACCUGGGAUCUUUUGGCAAUAAGAGGCACCGAAAAGAUGAGUCUUAAAUUCCUGCCUAAAUUCUAAAUUCUGGUCUGGUAACAGUGCACUGUAAGGGGUACGCAGGCUGGCCACCGUAAGGCGUACCAGGGGAUGGAUGUGAGUCCCAUCCCCAGGGUUUGAGUGGGUUUUAAGUCCCUAAUGAUGUUAAUGCCUGUAGUGCUAUUCGUCAUAUUGAUAUGUGUUUUGUGGCGUUGUCUGAUAACACUGGUGUCUCGAUCAAUCAAGAGUGUCUGGAUUGCUCAAAGAAAAGAAGGGGGAUUUGUGGAGGAUUUUCUAGAGGAAAACGGACAUGUGAGCAAUCCAGCCCUAAUGCUAAUAGCAAGAGUGUGAAAGUAGGUUUUGCGGCCUACUGGUAAGGUUACUAGAGGGCAUGCAAUGUGGUGAGAAACUGUCCUUGGAACGAGAAAAACAACUCCCAGGAAAAACAACUCCCAGAUGUUCAGUGAGAAACUUACGGGCUUAGGUAAUUUCUUUGCCUCCUUGGAGACAAUAAAUGCUAUCCAAUCAUAUACUGUUUAGAUGUGCGUGCUAAAUGAACA